rnacentral:rRNA from 1 species
AACGAACGCUGGCGGCAGGCUUAACACAUGCAAGUCGAACGCCCCGCAAGGGGAGUGGCAGACGGGUGAGUAACGCGUGGGAAUCUACCGUACCCUACGGAAUAACGCAUGGAAACGUGUGCUAAUACCGUAUACGCCCUACGGGGGAAAGAUUUAUCGGGGUAUGAUGAGCCCGCGUUGGAUUAGCUAGUUGGUGGGGUAAAGGCCUACCAAGGCGACGAUCCAUAGCUGGUCUGAGAGGAUGAUCAGCCACAUUGGGACUGAGACACGGCCCAAACUCCUACUGGAGGCAGCAGUGGGGAAUAUUGGACAAUGGGCGCAAGCCUGAUCCAGCCAUGCCGCGUGAGUGAUGAAGGUCUUAGGAUUGUAAAGCUCUUUCACCGGAGAAGAUAAUGACGGUAUCCGGAGAAGAAGCCCCGGCUAACUCCGUGCCAGCCGCCGCAGUAAAAC